CAGAGCACACAAUUUAAAUCUUAUGAAUGGUUUAUUUCUAGGAUUUUCCAUGUAAUAUUUUUGGACUGCGAUUGGCCAUGGAUAACUGACACUACU